UUAAAUUGAAGAGUUUGAUCAUGGCUCAGAUUGAACGCUGGCGGCAGGCCUAACACAUGCAAGUCGAACGGUAACAGGAAGCAGCUUGCUGCUUUGCUGACGAGUGGCGGACGGGUGAGUAAUGUCUGGGAAACUGCCCGAUGGAGGGGGAUAACUACUGGAAACGGUAGCUAAUACCGCAUAACGUCGCAAGACCAAAGAGGGGGACCUUAGGGCCUCUUGCCAUCGGAUGUGCCCAGAUGGGAUUAGCUAGUAGGUGGGGUAAUGGCUCACCUAGGCGACGAUCCCUAGCUGGUCUGAGAGGAUGACCAGCCACACUGGAACUGAGACACGGUCCAGACUCCUACGGGAGGCAGCAGUGGGGA
rnacentral:rRNA from 1 species